AAAUGAAUUGACGGGGGCCCGCACAAGCAGUGGAGUAUGUGGUUUAAUUCGAAGCAACGCGAAGAACCUUACCAGGUCUUGACAUCCCAAGAAUUCUGUAGAGAUACGGGAGUGCCUUCGGGAGCUUGGAGACAGGUGGUGCAUGGUUGUCGUCAGCUCGUGUCGUGAGAUGUUGGGUUAAGUCCCGCAACGAGCGCAACCCUUACGGUUAGUUGCUACGCAAGAGCACUCUAGCCGGACUGCCGUUGACAAAACGGAGGAAGGUGGGGACGACGUCAAAUCAUCAUGCCCCUUAUGGCCUGGGCUACACACGUACUACAAUGGCGAUUAACAGCGGGGAGCAAGACAGCGAUGUGGAGCAAAUCCCAAAAAAUCGUCUCAGUUCGGAUUGCAGGCUGCAACUCGCCUGCAUGAAGUCGGAAUUGCUAGUAAUCGCAGAUCAGCAUGCUGCGGUGAAUACGUUCCCGGGCCUUGUACACACCGCCCGU
rnacentral:rRNA from 1 species